rnacentral:misc_RNA from 1 species
GAUGAAGAACGUAGCGAAAUGCGAUAAGUAAUGUGAAUUGCAGAAUUCAGUGAAUCAUCGAAUCUUUGAACGCACAUUGCGCCCAUUAGUAUUCUAGUGGGCAUGCCUGUUCGAGCGUCAUUAAGUCCACUUAAGCCUAGCUUAGUGUUGGGAGACUGCUCCAGUGGUGCUACCCUGUAGCUACCCUGCAGCUCCUUAAAGACAGCGGCGGAGUCGUGUUAUCCUCUGAGCUUAGUAAAUCAUUCUAGCUUUCGAGAGUAUCACUUCACCUGCCGUUAAACCACCUAAUUUUUAUGGUUGACCUCGGAUCAGGUAGGAAUACCCGCUGAACUUAAGCAUAUCAAUAAGCGGAGA